GUUUAUUUGAUAGUACCUAUCCUACAUGGAUAACAGUGGUAAUUCUAGAGCUAAUACAUGCUGAAAAUCCCGACUUCGGAAGGGACGUAUUUAUUAGAAUCAGAACCAAUGCCCUUCGGGGUUUCCUGGUGACUCAUGAUAACUCCACAGAUCGCAUGGCCUUGCGCCGGCGAUGGCUCAUUCAAAUUUCUUCCCUAUCAACUUUCGACGGUACGGUCUUGGCCUACCGUGGUUGUAACGGGUGACGGAGGGUUAGGGCUCGACCCCGGAGAGAGAGCCUGAGAAACGGCUAUCACAUCCAAGGAAGGCAGCAGGCGCGCAAAUUAUCCAAUCCCGACUCGGGGAGAUAGUGACAAUAAAUACCGAUACAGGGCUCUUUUGGGCCCUGUAAUUGGAAUGAGUACAAUUUAAACCUCUUAACGAGGAACAAUUGGAGGGCAAGUCUGGUGCCAGCAGCCGCGGUAAUUCCAGCUCCAAUAGCGUAUAUUAAAGUUGUUGUGGUUAAAAAGCUCGUAGUCGAACCUCGAGCCUGGCCGGCCGGUCCGCCUCACCGCGUGCACUGGUCUGGCCGGGCUCUUCCCUCUGCGGAACCGCAUGUCCUUCACUGGGCGUGUCGGGGAGGCAGGACUUUUACUUUGAAAAAAUUAGAGUGCUCAAGGCAGGCCAAUGCUCGAAUACAUUAGCAUGGAAUAAUAGAAUAGGACGUUGGUUCUAUUUUGUUGGUUUCUAGGACCGCCGUAAUGAUCAAUAGGGACGGUCGGGGGCAUCAGUAUUCAGCCGUCAGAGGUGAAAUUCUUGGACCGGCUGAAGACUAACUACUGCGAAAGCAUUUGCCAAGGACGUUUUCGCUGAUCAGGAACGAAAGUUAGGGGAUCGAAGACGAUCAGAUACCGUCGUAGUCUUAACCAUAAACUAUGCCGACUAGGGAUCGGGCGGCGUUCUUUCUAGACCCGCUCGGCACCUUUCGAGAAAUCAAAGUGCUUGGGCUCCAGGGGGAGUAUGGCGGCAACGCUGAAACUUAAAGAAAUUGACGGAAGGGCACCACCAGGGGUGGAACCUGCGGCUUAAUUUGACUCAACACGGGGAAACUCACCAGGUCCAGACACAAUGAGGAUUGACAGAUUGAGAGCUCUUUCUUGAUUUUGUGGGUGGUGGUGCAUGGCCGUUCUUAGUUGGUGGGGUGACUUGUCUGCUUAAUUGCGAUAACGAACGAGACCUUGACUUCUAAAUAGCUCGCAUCGCUCCGGCGGUGUUGCGGCUUCUUAGUGGGACUAUCGGCUCAAGCCGAUGGAAGUUCGAGGCAAUAACAGGUCUGUGAUGCCCUUAGAUGUCCUGGGCCGCACGCGCGUUACACUGACAGAGCCAGCGAGUUUUUCCUUGGCCGGAAGGCCCGGGUAAUCUUGUGAAACUCCGUCGUGAUGGGGAUAGAGCAUUGCAAUUGUUGCUCUUCAACGAGGAAUCCCUAGUAAGCGCAAGUCAUCAGCUUGCGUUGAUUACGUCCCUGCCCUUUGUACACACCGCCCGUCGCUACUACCGAUUGAAUGGCUCAGCGAGGUUUCCGGACUGGCCCAGGGAGGCGGGCGACUGCCACCCAGGGCCGGAAAGCUACCCAAGCUCGGUCAUUUAGAGGAAGUAAAA
rnacentral:rRNA from 1 species